rnacentral:rRNA from 1 species
UACGUAGGGUGCGAGCGUUGUCCGGAAUUAUUGGGCGUAAAGAGCUCGUAGGCGGUGUGUCACGUCGUUCGUGAAAACCUGCAGCUUAACUGUGGGCGUGCGGUCGAUACGGGCAUCACUGGAGUUCGGCAGGGGAGACUGGAAUUCCUGGUGUGAGCGGUGAAAUGCGCAGAUAUCAGGAGGAACACCGGUGGCGAAGGCGGGUCUCUGGGCCGGUACUGACGCUGAGACGCGAAAGCGUGGGGAGCGAACAGG